AGUUAAAGCGAAUUAGAAAACAGGUUCCUGUACUUCAGUCUCAUAUACUGCAGGUGUACCACAGAUGUACCUCCAUAUACUAUAGGUGUACCACAGGUGUACCUCUAUAUACUGCAGGUGUACCUCAGGUAUACCUCUAUAUACUGCAGGUGUACCACAGAUGUACCUCCAUAUAAUGCAGGUGUACCACAGAUGUACCUCCAUAUAAUGCAGGUGUACCACAG